CUUAGUGUGUUAGUUUGAUCUGAAUCGUCUGCCGUUAGCUAUGAUAACUUUAUGGAAACAUACAAUUUGGCCAAUAUUAAAGGUGUGAAUGUGGCCAUUGUUCGUUGGAUCUUGUUGUCAACCCUCAAGAGUGCCGAUGCUGCAUGGAAAUAGAGCAAUGCCGUGGUUCAUGUCGUGACGUCACUUGUGCCGAUUGCGUAAUAACACGAAAACUACUUUUGAGCGAUGAAAUUAAAUCAAUUUCAAGUUUAUUUUUGCGCGAUCAUUUGCAUAAUGGCGGGUAAUUUAAAUAAUGCAAACAAUCGAGAUAUUCGACAGGUUAUAAGCCGAUAUUUAAAAGAGGUCGUAGAGAAUGGUGAAUAUUUCACAGGCUGGAUUGAUGGAGAGACUAACUUGAACGAGUUUUUACAAAAAUACGAAGUUGCUGGAUCGACAUCUUUCAAGCUUCGUUCGUCUGCGCUACGAGGUUCGGCAAAGCGAUAUGGAAAUGAAGGUACAUAAAUUAAACUGAUACGACGUAUUGCACUUGUAGUAUUUUACACGUGAAAAAUUGUAUUGUUUCGACGAAAGUUCCACUUCUCACUCACUAUAAAUUUUGUUCAUAACUCACGUUACUCAUCAGUUGUUGUAAAUAUAUAAUUAUAAAUAAAAUUAUCAACAUUUUUUGUAAUAAUUGUUGUUAUUAAAGGUAGUUUGAGAUGGAGCAGCAAUUUUGGUGAUCUAUCCAUACCAUUUUUUGGCACUCCGUUUUGUAUCAAUGGAAUACGGUUACUAGAGUGUAUUUAUGGACCGUGCAGGCCGACAAAUAGAGAUUCUGAGGAGGGAAUCAACGGCCAUCCAACUGGCCAAAAAAGACGAUUUCGAGUGCAGCCAACUAAAAAGCUUGGGUGUAAGGCCCAGAUCACUGUUAGGGAGUUAACCGUGUAUCCAGACUACAUCGUUCCAACAUCCUGUAACAACAAACACCAGAUGGAACGAGUCAUUAAACCAUCGCUCUUGAACAAGUUAAAAAUCGAUAAAGAACACAAUGAAGCGCAAAUUAAAAAAAUAAAGAGGUUUUUUGUCAAAGUUCCAAACCAGCAAGCACACACAAACCACCCACACGGAGAAGUGUGCGGCAUUUCCAAUGGGGUCCAUCCGCUUAUAAUAGAGAAAAUCCACGAGCUUGUUGCAGCAGGUGUAACACAGUGGCAGGAAGUUAAAAAGUUACUUACCUACCAUGUGGAAAACAUAUUGUUCCAAGAUGAUAAAAGUCCAAGGCCCUCAACACUUAACCGGUCAUUUUAUCCAACCAGCACAGACAUCAUCAAUCAUAUCUACUCAGCUACCAACAAACAAAAACUUAGCAAACUGGAUCAGGUGAAUUUGCAAAAAAUGAUUGACGAAUGGAAAAUGUCUACAUGCCACAUCUGAUAACUGGAGAAACAUGUACAGAAAUCUCCUGAUUCCAGCUGAACUUCAAUGUUUAAAUCCAGGCUGUCUUGUUAGCGACCUCAUUAUUGAAGCUUUUCUUCAAUACCUCAAAUUUGAAUAUGCUGAUGAGAAUGUGAAACAAUCCACCAUUGCAUUGUCAAGCUAUUUCUGUACCAAGCUCAGGUCAUAAAACCAUCCAUAAAACCAUCACAACAGCAAA